rnacentral:rRNA from 1 species
UACGUAGGGGGCAAGCGUUGUCCGGAUUUAUUGGGCGUAAAGGGCGCGCAGGCGGCCACGCGCGUCCGUUGUGAAAUCGCUCGGCUCAACUGGGCGAGGUCAGCGCAUACGGCGUGGCUGGAGCAAGCUAGGGGGCAAUGGAAUUCCCGGUGUAGUGGUGGAAUGCGUAGAUAUCGGGAGGAACACCAGUGGCGAAGGCGGUUGCCUGGAGCUUUGCUGACGCUGAGGCGCGAAAGCGUGGGGAGCGAUCCGG